rnacentral:tmRNA from 1 species
GGGGGUGACUGGUUUCGACUUGGGGCGGUAGUCCCAGGAGAAGCGGGCCGAGGACCCACGCUUAUCUCGUUAACGAUGUGUGGAAACCAAUAAGUGCCAACAACAACCGCACUAACUUCGCUCUCGCUGCCUGAUCAGUGAUCGAAGGGUCAGCCCGGGUGUGCCUUCCGCCCGGUGUCUGGCCUCAUUUAGAAGGCUUGCCGGACGGCCUGUGUUUCAGGGGCCGGCCGGGACUUAACUGAGACUGGGUCCGUUUGCGACAUGCCGACGUGAGCGCAAGGACCGAGAAAACGACUAGUCGGCUGCGCCCGGAGAAGACCUGGUUCAUCCUUCAAGGACGCGGGUUCAAUUCCGCCACCUCCACCC